UGCGUAUCGUACAUGGAAAAUGUCAAAUUUUAAUUCCCUAAAUUAAUAGCAAAUGGUCUUUUGGCACGCAGCUUUGACGUCCGUCUCCUGUAAGUGUGAGAAUUGAAUCAUUGGGGGUGGAAUGCACUAUUAUGCUUUCCGCAGACGGCUCUUGCGUGCCUCUCCUGUAAACUGGAAAUUGGGAGAGAUUGUGUCCCCUGUCAAGAUUUUCCUCACUUCCUAACUUUCCUGUCGCAGACUCAAAUGUGUGGACGGUGUCAUCUUCUUGGCUCCUAAGGUGAGCGUCCAGCAAGCCAAGUGGGUGAAUGUUCCAAUACUUCACCUUUUCCUGGAAAGUUAGUUCGCCUGGGCCUGAUGACAAACAGCAGUGGUCAACUGCCAAACCCAUAUUCCUUGUAAUGCCACAAAGUACAAACAUCAGUCGAGAACAUGUUCAGUGAAGCAGCUGCAUCCAUCCUACUGUGGUUGGCUUACAGCAAUCAAAUAAAGAAAGAGGAUAUAGCCAAGUAUUCCCCUGCCUUUAUCAAGCAAUACCCAAAAAAAAAAAAAGGUACCCAGGUAUUGUCUUUGAAUAUCUGAAGGCCAACUGAACUACCCUUUCCUUGUUGCAACACUGUAAGGGCACUUCCAUCUGAAUGAGGACUCAAACCCAAAACAAGAUCAGGUCUAGGGCAUGCUGGAUAAUAGUUCAUUCUCACUGCUUGUACAGCUGCUCCGAACAUGUCUUCGAAGACAUUCUCAUCCAGAGAUAGACCGAUGGCUAUGUACUUUAGCAAAUUCUUGCAUAGUUUCCUUAUCUCUCUGGAAUAUGCUUCCAGAGUCUCACUGAAAACAGAACAAGAUAAAUCUUAUCACCCGUUCUGAGAUUAGAUUAAAUUCAGGGCUUAAAGCUUUUUGUUCAUGAAGUAAUGCAGUUACCUAAAGGUGGCUGGCUUUGUAGGC